AAGCGUAACGGAGGAGCACGAAGGUUAGCUAAUCCUGGUCGGACAUCAGGAGGUUAGUGCAAUGGCAUAAGCUAGCUUGACUGCGAGCGUGACGGCGCGAGCAGGUGCGAAAGCAGGUCAUAGUGAUCCGGUGGUUCUGAAUGGAAGGGCCAUCGCUCAACGGAUAAAAGGUACUCCGGGGAUAACAGGCUGAUACCGCCCAAGAGUUCAUAUCGACGGCGGUGUUUGGCACCUCGAUGUCGGCUCAUCACAUCCUGGGGCUGAAGUAGGUCCCAAGGGUAUGGCUGUUCGCCAUUUAAAGUGGUACGCGAGCUGGGUUUAGAACGUCGUGAGACAGUUCGGUCCCUAUCUGCCGUGGGCGCUGGAGAAUUGAGGGGGGCUGCUCCUAGUACGAGAGGACCGGAGUGGACGCAUCACUGGUGUUCGGGUUGUCAUGCCAAUGGCACUGCCCGGUAGCUAAAUGCGGAAGAGAUAAGUGCUGAAAGCAUCUAAGCACGAAACUUGCCCCGAGAUGAGUUCUCCCUGAGACUUUAAGUCUCCUGAAGGAACGUUAAAGACGAUGACGUUGAUAGGCCGGGUGUGUAAGCGCAGCGAUGCGUUG
rnacentral:rRNA from 1 species